ACAAGCUUUCGGGAGAACCUCCCUUUCUCAAGUCUGAAGCAUUUCUGACAUGCUUCAGACUUGAGAAAGGGAGGUUCUCCCGAAAGCUUG
rnacentral:miRNA from 1 species